rnacentral:lncRNA from 1 species
UAAGUUAGUUCCUGUUACACAACCUCGUGAUUACAUAUUUCUACACAUUUCAAAAUGAUCACCACAAGUCGUCUAAUUACCAUAGAUGUGUAAGAAGCAUCCACUAUCUUUUCCAGAGUGGUUGUAUAUUUCACAUUCCCACCUUGCAGGAGUGUUCUAUGCCUGAGCCACAUCAUCACCAACUAGCGGUAGUCAGUUGUUAUGUCAUUCUAAUUGGUGUGUAUGUUAUCUCACUGUGGGUUUAAUUUGCACUUCUCUGAUAACAAAUGAUAUUGAGCCUCUUUUGACACGGUUGUUAUCUAGUUGUAUAUCUUCUUUUGUGAAGUGUCUAUUGAAAUAUUUUGCCUAUAUUUUAUUAAGUUGAUCUUCUUCCUAUGAUUUCUCACAGAGGCUGGAUACAAGGCCUUUGUCAGAUAUGAGCCCAUUUCUAUUUCUUGAUGAUGUCUUUCAAAAAGUAGAAACUUUUCAUUUUGAUGGAGUGUAUUCAUUUUUCUCUUUUAUGCAUCAUGCGCUUUUUUUGUGAUGAAACUGCCCCAAAUUUACAGACAGUCUCUCCUGUUUUCUUCUGGAAAUUUUAUAAUUUGAAUUAUUUAAGUUCAUGAUUUGAACAUUUAAGUUCAUGACCCACUUUGAGUUUAUUGUUGGGUGCAAAGUUGGGAUCAAUACUUACAUUUUCCCAAAUAGAGAUCUUGCUCUUCUGCCACCAUUUGUUGAAAAGAUUAGCCUCUCUUUAUUGAAAGCAACUUCACUGAAAAUUAAUUGAAUAUACAAAUAGGGAUAUAUUUCUGUCUCUCUAUUCUGUUCUCCCGAUCUGUAUGUCUAUCUUUUUACCUGAAUCACACUGUCUUAAUUAAUAUAGCCUUAUAGUAAGUCAUGAAAUUAGGUAAUGUAAAUCCUUGGUUUACACCUAUGAUCUUUUUGAAAUUGUGUCAUUUAUUCUAGGAUCUUUAUUUUGCAUAAACAUUUUUUUGCUUUUUUUUUUUUUUUUUUGGCCAAUGGACAUUCAGUAUUCAUUCUAGUUUCCUGAAGUUGUCUUUUAUUUAUUUAUUUAUUUAUUUGGCCACACUUGUGGCAUGCAGGAGUUCCUGUGCCAGGAAUCGAACCCAUGCCACAGAAGUGACCCAAGCCACAGCAGUGACCAUUCCAAAUCCUUAACUUGCUGAGCCAUGAGGGAACGCCUCCAUAAAAAUUUUAGAAUAAGAAUAUUAAUUUUCCAAAAGCUUUCUGGAAUGUUGAUUGGGGUUGUGUUCCUAGGUGAGCAGUAAAUAGCCAGCACCCUUGGAUUUUCUUGAUUUAUGGCACCAGAAAAACUCAGGCUUUGGCCCAGCAGCAAGCUGAGAGCCACUACAGGGCAAAAUCAAGGGAGAGUGCUGUGCCUGACCAUAUCAUCCUCAAACCUAACAACACCGGAGGUAACUCUGGCAGAUAAGGCCAACCCUCUGGCAAGCCUCAAGGACAGAGUCAUUGCACAGACUCCCCAGCAUCCUGGAGCAAGGCUAUGUUUUCUCCAAGAGGGAAUGACUCACCAUUUGAAAGAGGCUCCUGGUCUGCUACUGGUUUUAGUAACAACUGAGCACCUGAACUUGCAACAUCAGGUUCCCCAAAAAAACCAACAAAGGAGAAACUGCCUAAUCCUCAUUUACAAAUGGGUUGCCUGAAUAUGAUGGGUGUCCUGAAAAUAAACUGCCACUCCCUGCAUCACCACAAGGUGGAACUUCAGUGGGCAGAGCUGUGAGCAGAACAGCUGAUCGUCUACUUCAUAGGGAGGAAAAGGCAGAACCUCGCAAUCUCAUCUGUGAAAUUAAAAAUGUAAUCAUAAUGGAUUCGCCUGGUGCUGAUGGUUUUAGACCAGAGGUUUCUGAUAGUUUUGAUCCAGGUGUUGGAUUGGCUAUGGAAUAAAAUGCUUGAUUCUCCCAGCCCCCUCUAACCAGGGGGCUGACAUCUUGGAAUAAAAGGUUUGGAGUACAGAAGUCCACUUUGUGAAGCAUCCUUGCGGUCCGUAGAGAAAAUGAACAUACUUCCUGAUUUGCUUCUAUUGUCCUGGCAUCCCUCUGGUUUAAUGAGCUCUUAUCGAGGCAGCCCAUACCCGGAGCAGUGAGAGUGGCACCACCAGACUGUUCCCCUGGACCACACGUGGCAUCUCAGCAUCUGUCCGCCAUAGUUGUGAACACCUGUGCUUUACCUGGAUUCAUUCUGUGCAUUGCUUAGCCAGAUGGGUCCCGAGGUAACUGCUCCUUCGCUUUACACUGUUUCAGCUUAACGGAAGGUUUCAUGAGAACACUCUACUUCCAUAAAGCAGGGGAAGCUGUAUUUACUUUAAUGCUGUUAACAAUUUUUAAAGAUUUUGCAGUGAACCCUCUCAGCAGCAAGAGCUCAAGAAGCAAAGCUAAGCAAAACAAAAACACAUGUUUGGUGAAAAUUAAGUACGGAAUUUUUAUUUGUCAGUAGAUUUGAUGAUAAGUGUACAACAUACAUCAAAUGUUUCCCAGCGUUCCACCUCCCACCAUGGGACCUGUAGUAAGGAAAACUAGAUGACAUAAAUAUGCUAUAAAGACCUCAGAAUUUGCUUGAAAUCUUAGUCAUUAUUUUAAAGUUUCUUGGACAAGAAGCAAUAGCCGUUAAUGUGUUUGGUUUAAUUAAUAGAACUCUGCAGAUAGCUAAAUGACUCAUUUUUUAUGUCACCAAUUGCUUCAAAUUUAAAAAAUGAAUUCUAAUAAUUCAAUUUUUCAUGAAAUUUAUGGAAUUAAAGUAAAAACCUCAC